GGUGCCGGAGCACCCUAUCUUAUCCUGUUUUGUACUAAAUUCAUUUAUUUAUAUUUUCUUACAUGUAGUAAAUUUUUUUUUAUCACAUCUUUUUUUUUUUAGACCCAGACAGAAUCUCCUCUUUUUUUAUUAAUGCAUGGUGGGUGUCACUGUUUACCUUGUAAAAACAAAUUAUAUCCAUUUCAUUUUUCUUAAACCAUGUCAUAUUAUCACAAUACUUAUAAUCAUUUCAAGUAAAUUAAAUACUGUAUUGCAUUCAUAUAAACUCAAGUACAAUAUUUACAAUUUUAUUUACAAUUACAAAAUGACUUACACUGUUUACUUACAUACAAUAACCAAAAUGCAAAAUUUAACUAUAUAUUAGCCCUAUCAAAAUAACAGUCUAAGGUAACAACCACUCUGUAGCAGACCUGAUCAGAAUCCUAUCUAGCACUACUACUACUGAUACUGCUGCUGCUGCUGCUCUCUUGUACCUACGCGAUGGAAAAACCAACCGCUAAGCAUAACGCUUAGUAGUGCAUAAAAUAAAGGAAAAAUAACUAAACAAUUUAAAAUAAUUAUUCUAUGUGUAAUUUCAUAAAUUUCUAAGUUAUUUACAUAUUUUAUGAAAUUUUGGGAGCAAGUAAAUUAUUAUGAUCUUUUUUGGUCAUUUAUGUCAUUUUCAAUCUCAUUGCUCAUCUCUGUGAUGUCUUCAUGUAAUUAUUUAAAUUUAAGACUUAUUAUUCAUAUCUGUGCCCAAGCAACCUAUAACAAACUAUAAAUACUAGAUACACGAAAGUAUACUAGUUAAACAUCCGUAUGUUUGAUAUGUAUAUAUCUGUCAUGUUAGGCACAAGGCCAACGGGCAGACACAAAGACAGUAGAAUAACCAUCUUAGACAUAUAUUGUCUAUCAAUGAUUAUUCCUGUAGGCAAUACUGCAAUCUGUAGUCCCUAAUUGGUAUACUAAUCGAUCCAUGCCAUAUAAAUAAGUCUAGGUGUACUUUGGGUAAAAUAAAAUUAUUAAGGAUUUAUAAUUUUAUAAUAUGCACUAAUUGUGUUUCCAUAGCAUUUUCAUGCCACUAUAUGUCUAUUUAUGUUAUUCUUAUGUUUAAAAAAUUAUUUUAGUUCAUUCCAUGUCAUAUGCGAAGUCAUUUUAUGAACCUUUCUCAAGGUCCAGAUUUGGUGUCCUAAAUUCAUCUAGCAAAUUGGUUAAGAUGGAGCCACUGUUUGACCACACUUCUUUCAUAGAAGUUGUUCUGAUAUGUCUUGUCUUUGUUUUUCUUUUUGAAUCAUGUCAUUUGAAGUUUUAGAACUCAAGUUAUGGUCAAAUAACCAAAACUGGUUCCUUAACUCACUCAAGUUCCAGAACCAGACAGAUUUUGGAAUCAAUCUUUUCCUAAUUAUUUGGACAUGUUACAGCCACUUUUAGGCCUAAUGUUUUUCAUGGAAGUUGUUACCCUAUGUUUUAGGAUCACUCAGAUUUUUGAAUUACAAUUUUGCAAGUUUAGUAGAAUUAGUUAUAACCAAUUAACUAGUUUGGACUUAGAUACCCUGUGCCAACAGGAUUCCAGUUCAGGUCAACGACUUUGACUCCAAUUUCAGGGUCCUUACACUCAUAAUUUGAGGAAGGUUCCUAAAUCAAAGUUAGAGCCCUGUCUCUUAGAUUUCCAGAACAGUUUGGCUCAUCCCAUUUGGGAUUUCCUAGUGGGAGAUAUGGUUUAAAGACUGUUCUGAGGUCAAGUGAUCACUUAGAAAAUUUUCAGAAUUUGUAUUUUAACUUUACCUAACCAAUUGACCUCGUUCCCUUGAUUUCUGGGUUUUGGUCAAAAUAUCAAUAUUGUAGAUCUAUGUCUUGUGGAAAUUUUGCCACUGGUUUCACUGCAUUUGGGUUUUUAUAGACUAAGUUAUGACCUUUUUGCCAAAACUGGUCAGAUAUGCCUAAGUCCAAAAUUUCUAGACAAUUUGGUUCUGGACAGUUUUGUUAAUCUAACUUGUGCUAGCAAUUUGGUUUGGUUAGAGGCAUUUCUGGGUUCUGUGUUCUUCAUGAAAGUUGUAGUCCUAUAUCUAAACUUUUCAAUAGUAUAAAAUUCAAGUCAUUUGAACCUGCCUAGAGGGAGUGAUGGCCAAAUGAACAUGGUUAUUUUUCUGGGUCUAGGGUAUGGUCAACCGGAUUCAAGCAGGAUUUAGGUCAAUUUGUGGACAGAAUUUGGGCAUUAUUUCUUCAUGAAAAAUGGAGUAUUUUAGCCCUAGUUGCAUCUCUAAUUGGCUUUAUACCAAUUGGAGCAACACAAUUCAAGUUAUGGUUUAGUAAGCAUGCUGGACUCAUUAGUCCAGAAAUCCUGCAUGAAAACACACUCUCAAUUUUUAAUUUUCUCCAACUCCCAUACUUUAAUUGGCAUACAUGACACUUCUAAUAGGCAACAAAUAGUCUCAACAACACCAAUUUCAUGUAAUAACACCAAAGUCCCAAAGUUAGGUCAAAACCCUAGCUCAAAGUUUCAAUCUCAAGCAUUCUUAAGGCAAUUCAACUUCUAAUGCAUAUAAGUUCAUCAAUCAACAUCACUAACUAAUUCAAAACCAUCAAUUCCUCACACUUUCCAUGGCUGCCAAAAUUAGGGUUUUCCCCUACUCAUGGUAUUCAUUUUAAUUUCAUGGAAAUUUACUUCAAUUUACUAUACUAAUCAUACUUGAGAAGGAAAUAAAUGUGUUUAGUGCACUAACCUUUUGUGAACACUUCUUGGACUUGUGAACUCAAAUUUUUCUUCACUUCUUGGCAGCCACAAUCUUCCUUAUGGUGUAAGGACAAUUUUUAAUGAAGGGAGCUUAGGGUUUUAUAGUAAGAAAUGAUGGGAAAUUGAGCUAGGAAAGAUGGAAAUAGAGGAGAGAAAGCUCUCCAUAUGGUUCGGCCAUGGGAGAAGGGUGAAGAAGAAGAUAGGCUUUUAUUAAUUUUUGUCUCAUUUAACAUUAAUUUUUGUCUCAUUUAACACUCUUUCUUAUCCCUUAAUAGUUAUUUGUUGAGCUCGCAUUUGUUACCACUUUUUAUGAUGUCAUUAUGACAUUAUACUCAUGCAAUAUAUUUUUUUUUCUUUUCCCAUUUCUAUACAUAAUCUCACAAUUUAAUUUAUUUUAUGCAUUUUAAUCUCUCUCAUUUUAAUUAAUAUUUCAGUUAAAAUUCAACUAUAUGGUUAAAAUGACCAAAAUGCCCUUCACUAGGCUCAUCGGGUUAUUUUUUGUCAGUACCGAUUAACUAAUUUUCCUGAAUUUGUUUAACAUUUUUAAUGUUAUUUAAUUUUCAUAAAUUCUCUAAUUUAAUCCCGAAAAUUAUUUUCUAAAGUUCCUCGCGGGACUAGGGUCAGCAACUGUCUUCACAGUCGCUUCCCAGUAUGGUCACCCAUCGCCGUGACCCCGGCUCGUUUAACCGAGUUGUACUUCGCUUCUUUUACUUUUCUUUAAUUUCACUUAGUCUAUAUUCAGUCAAUUUA
rnacentral:misc_RNA from 1 species